rnacentral:misc_RNA from 1 species
AAUUGUUUUUAUUUUAUGCCUGGUCAGCGGUUUCCAGUCCAGUUACACAACAUCCAGAUACAGCUGUGUUUGGUGUCAAAAUAUCUCAAAAUUAUGAUGCUUGCUUCACGUGAUAUUCAAUAAUGAAAAGUUCUAUGGAAGCUAUGGAUGUUGAUCCAAUAUUUGGUAGUUCUGGAAGAGAAGAACUUGUUCUGGAGCAAGCUACAGUUUUCCUCGAAGACGCUGUCAGAUAUCGUUCAAUACAUCACAAGAUUGAUCACCAAUCACUACGAAUCUAUCGUUUAUACUACAGCCCACUUAUAAGAUGGGGGCUGACUUUUGUCAUAAUAUUAGACUUGUGUUUGGCUUUUUUUGAGCAUCCAUCUUCACUAACUCUUUCAUCAGACCCUCGUUUUCGUGGACCAAGACCGCAUGUUCCCUGUGGUGUAUUAGAAGUGUUGGAAAUAUUAUUCUUGUUGUGUUUUGUGUGUGAUGUUAUUGUUAAGAGCCAUGUUCUUGGUAGACGUCAGCUUAUUAAGAAUCGUUGGUUGUUGGCUUACAUAUCAAUAUUACUGAUAUCAUUUGUGGAUGUCUUUGUUAGCUUAAGCANUGGAUGUAAAGAGGUAAUAAGAAUACGUCGUCUUCUACGGCCCUUUUUCUUGGUUCAGAACUCAUCAUUAACAAAGAAGUUGCUCAGAGCAAUAAGAAGAACUCUCCCAGAAAUAAUGAGUGUUCUUUUCUUGCUGUUCCUUCACUUGUGUUUCUUCACCAUGUUUGGGAUGCUUCUGUUUCCGAGAAAGCCUUGGUCUGAUGUUACCAAGAAUGUAACACAGAAUAUUGAGCAACUUUGCAGCCAUAACUCAUCUUCAGACAGUGGGGCUAUUUGUGAGGGAUCAAAAUUUUUCACAGAUUUGGUGGUCUCGAUGAGAAGUUUAUUUGUUCUUUUAACAACAGCAAAUAACCCAGAUGUAAUGAUGCCAGCCUACAUGAAAAACAGAUUCUAUUUCAUUUACUUUUUUCUGUUCACACUUAUUGGUCUUUACUGCUUUCUGAACUUAUUGACAGCUGUCAUUUAUAAUCAGUUUAGAGGUUAUUUGAUGAAAUCACUUGAGUCCAGUCUGUUUCGUAAGAGGCUUGGUGUCAGAGCAGCAUUUGAAGUUCUCUGUACCCUCAAUGGUACUGCAGAGGAUGAUAGCCAUAGUGAUUUGGUCCCAAAAGAUACAGUCAAGGCUGUCAUAGAGAAAGCAUACUUAACCAAUCGGAAAAAGCAGAUUUUAAAUGAUGCUGUAAGAGAGAAUCACGGUGGUACCUACAAUUCCCAACAAUUCCAGGAUCUGUUUGAUGUGUUAGACUGUCUAGGCAAAACCAAGCAUCGACCGCCAAUGAGUUUUGUUGGUAACAUUGUGAUGAGAAAGGUCCAGUUAAUAGUUUCCAGUCAUUUGUUUGACUACUUUGGGGACUUUAUAGCNGGAGUUAAUGUCAUAUUCGUAUCGAUUAUGCUCCAUGCUCAAUAUGACAGUUCCGUCAAAUCAAGUCAUUCUGCACUUGCAGUAGCAAAUUUCUUUUUUGUGUUAUACUAUCUCUUUGAACAGGCCAUGAAAUUAUGGUCCCUUGGGUGGCAGCGCUAUAUAUCUUUNAAGGGAAAUAAGUAUUGUGGAGUUGUAACACUGCUCUUAGUGGUACUGGAACUAAUUUUUUUAGGUCUGCAUGGCUCACCCUUUAGCUCCACAACCACGAGUCCUGAUGACAACGAUUCGUUAGACUAUCUACUUUCUGUGGCCAACUUAACACGAAUUAUCAACAUGUUAAUCAUCUUUAGACUUCUCAGGAUUGUGCCGAAUAUAAGGGCUCUCUCUCUUGUUACUGAAACUCUGAUGAACCUUCUACGUAACCUUUCUCCUUUUGCAGGCCUGAUUGUGGCUAUUUAUUAUGUGUUUGCUGUUCUUGGCAUGAUUCUAUUUCCUAAAGUCACUGACCCAACAGAGAGAUGUGCCAUCAAAGACAAGCUUCAUUAGUACUAUUAUGGGAUAUCAUGGUUGUAAAUAACUGGCAUGUUUUCCUGAAGGCAUAUGCACAGCUUGUUAAUGGCUGGUCACAGCUGUAUUUUC